rnacentral:lncRNA from 1 species
AGGAUUUUCACAAGCACGCUUCUAGCCCAGAACCACAGAAGCCUGCUUCCUCUUCUCCCAGCCUGGACCCUCGGCCUUCAGGACUAGGGUGGGGAGUGGAUUUUAGAAGUGCGUAUCUGACUCGGGCAGGACUUUUCAGGAGUAUAAAUUAUUUUUGUCUUCCGGGUUUUAUUUGGACGUGUCCCGGGCAAAGACAAACGAUCCAGGCGGUCUUUCUGGACCCGUGCGAGGUCUGCACCCCGCGCCGGGCUCCCAGGAUGUGCGGGGUGGUGCAGAGAGGUGUCUCCCUCAAGCGCAAGCCAGAUCUGCAGUCUCCCUCCCACUGGCCGUCCUGCGUGGGUGCCAAGUUCCACACGGGGUCUCAUGGAUCGGCAGGAGAUGUCAGUGAAAGAAGGGGCACAGAAUGA